rnacentral:lncRNA from 1 species
UUUGCAGGACUUCAGCCCAAGGGAGGGCAGUCAGGCUUGCUGCCUGGAUGGAACAGAGCUCACCCUGGUCUGGGUGCGACACCCUUGAUUCUGAACAGGCUGAACUUGAGGUGGAUGAGCUGCAGCCCCACACAGUGCUGCCAGAGGUGCACGGCUGGGAGUCACUGUGUCCACAGAGAGUGUCCUCCGUCACCAGUGCCGUACUGCCUCAGCCGUCCUUGCGCAGUACGCGGCUCUGUCCACAGCAGCCUGUGGACACCUGGCCUCGGCCCAGCGGAGCUCCUUUCCCGCACCACAGCCGCCGCACCUGGCUCUCGUGGAGGGGAUCUUGCUGUCCACCGUCUUCCAUCCUGGCGUGGACUCAAGCCAGCCCCAGCUCUGCCUCGGCUGUUGGCACAGACUGCACCACUGCCAUGCCCUCCUGGCAGGCAGCACAUCUGAGGCCCAGGAGCUGGGCAGAGCGGCUGCCCAGCCCACGGGACCCAGGUGGCUUAUUGCCUGGGCCGCCUGUGCUGCCUGUGCUGCCAAAAGACCACCACAGGAGCAAACAGACGGCCUCCCUGAGUGCACCACUCACACAUUUACAGAUUGGAAAGGAUAUCAGGGGUUGCAGUGAGUUAAAAACCAUAAAAAGAUGCCAGCUUCCUGGUGGUGAGGGACAGCUGCCACCCACAGGGGCCUUCGCAAACUUAGCCCCAGGCUGGUGAUCAAGGUGUGAACUUGGAUGGGCACAGGCCUGGUGUGCAACUGUGGCCAGAACUCUGCUUGCUAAACAUGUGUGGUUUCAGCUGCCCGCUUUGCUUGUGUUUGAAGCCCUCGAUUUAAAUCCAGAACAAGUCCUCUCUAGGGAUGUCUGUGUUUUCUAGUCUUUGAGAUGAGCUGGAAACUUCUGGCCUUCCUUCCCCAUGGGCGGGGCUGAUCAGCGUGCAAGUGAGCCAUUCUGCUGCUCUUUUUCUGCUCAAAGUGAAACGUUAC